CCGGAGCCCGCGCGGGCGCCGUGGAUCCCCUCGGCCUCCCGUUGGUAUCUUCCAUCUCAUGCGUUCAGCAUUGUAACCUCGCGGCGGGCGUGCAGACCGGACGCCCUCCCGCUUCUUCUACCGACUGCUAGGCACACCAGUGGGUUCAUUUUGAAAGAGGCCCUUGCACCGGGCUUUGCAAGGAAGCCGGCAAGGUUAGAUUGAAGGUUAGAAGCCAAUUAGACUAGAAUCCUGCGAUCUGGUGAGACUGCCGCCUUAAAAUGCACCAAACAGUUUUUGAACCUGGAGGGCUAACAGGCGGGAAAAACAUCUGCAAGACUGCCACCGUGUAUUUUUCUCAAGUAACAGGCUAUCCACAGUUUUGGAAUUCCUUAGUGAAACUGUCACACAGGCACAAACACAUGUCAGCUUUCCUUCUAGUUUGUAAAUAAUAUUUGUAAUUUACAGGCCACUGUAUUCCCAACUUUGCACCAUGUGAUUUAGAGAAAGCAAAGCUCCCUCUUUAAAAAUAAUAUGUUACUUCUGAAAUACCGGGAUAUUCCACGGCAAGUAAGCCAUAUUGUCGCCAGAGCAAAUAAACCGCAGCCCCAUAUCAUAAUUCACUGGGUGCUAUAAGAUGUAACUUGGCUUUGCUUUGAAUGGAAAGAAUCCUGAACGUCUGUGAUGUGAUGAAGUUUUGGAGACUGGGGGCAGGAUUUCCUUUGAAUGUAAGGAAUUCGGAUAACUUGUUCAAGGAUGAUUCUAGUGAAAAACGUUUGUCCCAUGUUUGUUGGGACAAAAAUGCUGGAUAUGGUACAACAUUCUUCCUGCAGGUUCGGUUUUGUUGAAGAGAGUGAGGCCAGCUCGAGGUGAAGGAAAAACAUCAGAAAGGUGCUAAAGUGCAGAAAUAUCUUCCAGAGGCACUAAUAGCCGACUUUAGUUCUUGACCUUUAGCUAGAUCCACAAAGCACUGAGUUAAAAUUGUACACUGAUCCCUUCCAGAACAAAUUAAUUAAUUAAAUGGUGCCUCUUCCCAGCGUUAAUCGUUUAAAAGGACUCAAGUACCCACACAGUUUAAGCAAACUAAAAGAACACUGACACUUUCUCAGAGAACAGGGAUGGGAACUUUCUAUCUGCCCAUUAGUAUCUACCCCAAGCUACGAAGACUUCCAUUCCUCUUAUUAAGCAUUCAGCAACUACAUUUAGUGCCUACUAUGCCAGUGAUGCAAGAAUGGAUAAGACAGUCCCUACACUCAAGGAUAACGCCUCUAGUAGAUUCAACUCAACUGUGAGUGAAAAAUA
rnacentral:lncRNA from 10 species